CCUCCACACUGCCCUUUGGCUCCUUUCCCAUAGGAAGCUACGGCUUGCCCCGCCUGACAAGUUCUUUAUGCUUUAAACAAAAGAGAUUAUUGGAAGGAAAGACAUGAGUGUCUCAAAGUGGUAUUUUGGUACAAAAGGAUGUCUUAAAAUAGCAUCCUUACGCUUCCCAUUGGGGCAGGAAGGACCUGAGGAGAGAGAACAUUAAGUCUGGAAAAGCCAAAAUGAUUGCUGGGCAUUAUCGUCCCCUGAUGGUAACAGGGAGGCCCUAAGUGACCGGUCGAUGGCUUCUCUCUGGGACCCCAGCCUCUGCUUCUGCGUGCCCUCUCCCUGUUGUCAGAUGCAUACAUCGAGUCCCCUCUGUGUUUCCUGCCCACCAAAGGACAGGUGACUGAACCCUUCCAAGACAAAUCACCCAGCUACCAAACUACAGAGAAGUCUGGACGUCUGCAGGUGUAGCAGUCAUCAACAACUCAAUCAUGUAUUCGUUCAUUUGUUCAAACAUUUAUUAGACACCUGCUGUCUUCAGAGAUUAAAAAAUAAGCAAGUGCAACCAGUGAAUUCUUGUGGAGCUCAAGUCUAGGUGGGGAAAGAGUUGCUGAAAUAGACAAAUGAGAAGAGUCCAUUUAGACCAGAAAAAUCCUGUGAGUGCAAUGACAUCUGCCCAUACUAACCUGUGAGAGGGUGGGAGUAAAUGGGAGGCACCUUCCCAAACUGGGGGGGAAAAGAAAGGCUUCCAAAAAAAGGGAUAGUUAGUCCAGGUAGUCCAAAAGGCAGAGAUGAGGGAUAGUACCCAGGACAAGGGCAAGCCUAUAAAAGCUUAAGAGAACAUAGUAUCUCUAAGAAACCAAAGUAUUUGGGGUAGAAGGAGUAUUUGCAGUGUAUGUGUGUGCAUUGGGAUGCGGACAGUGCCACAACAGAGUGGCAAAAGAUCAGGCUGAAAGAAAAAGAGGAAAGAAGGGAAGAGAAAGAAAACUGAAGGCCCUCUCUGCUUUACUUAGCAUUUGUCCUUUCUGCUCAAAGCAAUGAGAGACCACUGAGAGACCUAAACAGAAGAAUGCCACUUUUGUGUUAUUAGAUGUGAAAAAUGCACAAGUCUUACUGCCCUGUGGUGGCCCAAGCAAGUCUCAUCAGAAUGGAGGUCAGAUUUCUGAGCGUGCACUUCAAGGACCUUUGCAACUUGACAUUUCCAGUCUCUCCUCCCCUCUGCCAUGCAUAUCCAGUGGUAGAACAUUUACUCCUUCCCUCAACAUGUCAGUCACUUUGUGUUGGUUAUCUACUGCUGUGGAACAAACAGUUAAAAGCUUAAAAAAAAAACCAUUUAAAAUAUCUCAACUGGUUUCCGAGGUCAGGAAUCCAGGAGUGCCUUAGCUCGGUGGGUCUGGCUCAGAGUCUUUCAUGAAAUGGUAGUUAAGAUGUCAGCUGGGGCAUCAGUCAUCUGAAGGCUUGACUGGGGCUGGAGGAGCUGAUUCCAAGAUGGCGUACUCCAUAGCAGUUGACUAAGAUGCCUCAGCUCAUUACUGGCUGCAGGCAGGAAGCCUCAGUCCUCACCCUGUAGACUUCUCCACAGGGCUGCUUUUGUGUUCUUGUGACUUCCCCUGAGAAAAACAAUUCAAGAGAGAAAACAAAGAAGAGGCCAAAAUACCUCCUGUGACCUAAUCUUACACAUCCCUAUUGUAUCUACCAUAUUCUGCUUAUUAGAAACAAGUCGCUAAGUUCUUCUCAUUCUCAAGAAAAUAGGAAUUAUGCUUCAACUCUUUAAAGGAAGAGUAUCAGGGUGCCUGGGUGGCUCAGUCGGUUAAGCGUCUGACUUCAGCUCAGGUCAUGAUCUGUAGGUUUGUGAGUUCAAGCCCCACGCC